UGAAUAUCCUUUCUUAUUCUAUUUAGAAU
rnacentral:piRNA from 1 species